CCUACGGGCGGCUGCAGUGGGGAAUAUUGCACAAUGGGCGCAAGCCUGAUGCAGCCAUGCCGCGUGUGUGAAGAAGGCCUUCGGGUUGUAAAGCACUUUCAGCGGGGAGGAAGGCGGUGAGGUUAAUAACCUCAUCGAUUGACGUUACCCGCAGAAGAAGCACCGGCUAACUCCGUGCCAGCAGCCGCGGUAAUACGGAGGGUGCAAGCGUUAAUCGGAAUUACUGGGCGUAAAGCGCACGCAGGCGGUCUGUCAAGUCGGAUGUGAAAUCCCCGGGCUCAACCUGGGAACUGCAUUCGAAACUGGCAGGCUAGAGUCUUGUAGAGGGGGGUAGAAUUCCAGGUGUAGCGGUGAAAUGCGUAGAGAUCUGGAGGAAUACCGGUGGCGAAGGCGGCCCCCUGGACAAAGACUGACGUUCAGGUGCGAAAGCGUGGGAGCAAACAGGAUUAGAUACCCGUGUAGUC
rnacentral:rRNA from 1 species